rnacentral:rRNA from 1 species
GAUGAACGCUGGCGGCGUGCCUAAUACAUGCAAGUCGAGCGAACAGACGAGGAGCUUGCUCCUCUGACGUUAGCGGCGGACGGGUGAGUAACACGUGGAUAACCUACCUAUAAGACUGGGAUAACUUCGGGAAACCGGAGCUAAUACCGGAUAACAUGUUGAACCGCAUGGUUCAACAGUGAAAGACGGUCUUGCUGUCACUUAUAGAUGGAUCCGCGCCGCAUUAGCUAGUUGGGAAGGUAACGGCUUACCAAGGCAACGAUGCGUAGCCGACCUGAGAGGGUGAUCGGCCACACGGGAACGGAGACACGGACAAGGCGCCUAAGGGAGGCAGCAGAAGGGAAUCUGCCGCAAUGGGCGAAAGCCUGACGGAGCAGCGCGGAGUGAGUGAAGAAGGUCUUCGGAGCGUAAAACUCGGUUAUUAGGGAAGAACAAAUGUGUAAGUAACUAUGCACGUCUUGACGGUACCUAAUCAGAAAGCCACGGCUAACUACGUG